rnacentral:rRNA from 1 species
GAUCAUGGCUCAGGAUGAACGCUGGCGGCGUGCCUAACACAUGCAAGUCGAACGGGAUGCGUAUCGGAAAGCUUCGGCCGGAAGAUACGUUAUCUAGUGGCGGACGGGUGAGUAACACGUGGGUAACCUGCCUUAUGGAGGGGGAUAACAGAGAGAAAUCACUGCUAAUACCGCAUAAGCACACAGUACCGCAUGGUACAGGGUGAAAAGAUUUAUCACCAUAAGAUGGACCCGCGU